CAACUUCAGUCUGGAGGGCUGGAGGCUGGGCCUGGGGAUGUGGCUGAACAGAAUGUCAGGGCAAGAUGCUGGGAAGCCCUGUGGUCACUCAGAUGCUUCUUCCCCACUCUGGCCCUCCCCUGCCUCCUGCAGCUGUGCCUUGGAGGUCCUGAGAACGCUACUCCUGGCUGCAGAGUACCUGGGAGUGAUUGCUCACGUUGAUCAACAUCGGGGUUGGGACCUGCUGUCCAGCCCCAGGGACUUCUAUCUAGGGGUCAUAGAGUUGACGAGUGGCAUGGUGAAGAGCUGUGCCCCGCGCAUCCUGCUCCGCAUCCUGAACCAGAUCCGCCCGCUCCUCAACAGCCAGAAUGAGCAGAAGCAGACCAUGGCCAGGGCCUGCUUUGCUCAGCUUCUGUGGCACCGCACCGUGGCCGAGACCCCGGAGCAAGACUUCUUGGCCCAGAUGAUCAAAGUGGAUGAGGGAGCCGAGCCCCUCAUGAGGGAGGUCGGUGCUGCGGGGAUUCAGCAACUGGCGCUGCACCCGGGAAGGUGAGAUCGCUCCACACUGGGUGGCCGUGGAGGCGGGUGGCGGCGAGGGGAGAGGAGGAGCGGGACGAAGCCAACGGAGGGAUCUGGGUGGCUGAUGAAGGGGAAAGCUGGCAUCCAGAUGCAGGGAACCCUCGACGAGUGGGGCAUGUCUAAUCCAUCUCACCUAGAUGUCCCUGGUCCCACCCCUGGAGCCCCAGUCUUCAUCAGUCACAAUCAUUGAUUUAGUGCCUCUAAGGAGUAAAACACGGUGUUAAGGGCUGGACUUUAAGUAAGACACAGUCCCUGACCCACAUGGAGUUCUCAAAUCUGAAGCGGGUAAGACAGACCCCUGGAGGAAAAGCCACCCUCCAUUUCAAAGUAAUCAAAUGCAAUUCAUCAAUCGGAAAGUAACGGAAGUAAAAGAUGGUUUGUUACCUCUUGGAGGGGCGAAGUCCUUGGGUUUCUUCCCCAUGUUCUCAACACUGUGCUGAUGGCUUCUGAUCUCGGCUCUGACACCUGUCUGCUGUGUGACCUUGGGCAAAUCACUUCUCUUGGGCCUCAGUUACUUCAUCUGUAAAAUGGAGAUUGAGGACUCUGAGCCCUACGUGGGACGGGGACUGUGCCCAACCCAAUUUGCUUGUAUCCAUCCUAGUGCUUUAGUACAGUACCUGGUACAAAGUAAAGCCCUUAACAAACAUACCAAUAAAUAUUAUUAAUCAUUAUUAUUAUUAUUUUUGCUCAUCCUCCUCUCCCAUGGGAGCCAGGACCUCUUUCCCAGAGUUGGAAGGAGGAGAGGAGCUGUAUCUGGUCAUUAGGGCCCCCCUCCCCUGACAUUCCCUGGAUUCUUUGAGGCCUUCAGGCUCCAACCCCCAGUUUCCCUGGGGCUCCAGCUCCCCCAGUCUCCCCAGUAGUAUGCCCAGACAGGACUGGAGUGAGACGGGUCCCUCUGCCUGGCAGUGGGCUGCCCUGCAGGGGGAUGCUGCCCCUCUCUGAGAGGCUUCCUGAAGGAGGAGGAAGCGGGUGACCAUCCAGGCCGUGAAGGGGAUGCGCAAUGUCAUCUGCACUGGCCAUGGCGAGGAGACCAAAGUGGCCUUCUCCAGCAUCUCCCAGCAA
rnacentral:lncRNA from 1 species